UUCAAAUUCCUAUUUUGAAUUUUUUUCAAUUUAACACAUGAUUUCCAAAAUAGCAUAUAAAAGUUGUUUGAUUCUUUUUUUAAAUAAAUUUGACAAUAAAAUAGGUGAAAUUUUAUAAACAACAAAAAAAGAAUCAACUCAUUUGGAGUUUAAUUUAAAACUUAGAGCUUGUUUUAUAAACUCUGUUUUUAAAAGAAAUAGUUUAAAGUAAACGCUUCGGGAAGGAUACGUCUUCUGAAAAUGGAAGCAUACUUAUAGGGGUAUGUUUUCCCCAAAGGGAUACACAUCAGAGAGGUUGCACCAAUGGGGAAAUCGGUUGCCUCACCGACCCGUGGAGACCACUUGCUAGGUUCAUCCCUUUCCUCCCGUGUUUCUGGCCAGGGACGGAGGCCUAUUCUGGCGAUGAUGGACAACGCUAGGGUGCACUUUUCCUGGAGCUGGGGCACACCGGCGUGCUUAGAGGGAAGGGCCUCAUCUUCAGGGUCGCAAAGGAAUCGCUGUAGAGCCCAGGGGUGAGCACCCCUUCAUCUAUGGCGGACAACAGGCUCGGGUGUACUGUCCUUUCGCCCAUAGCAUGCCAUGGCGGAAAGGGCAGGGGGAUGGGUUCUAAGGAUCCCAAGGAUUCUGCCGGAGGUGAGAAUGGAGGAGGAGAGUCCCGGGUGGUGCUGAAUUUAGCCGAAGGACAGCGGCGGGCGCUAUUGCCUGAGAAAAGGAAGGGAGAUACUUUCGGUCGAUUAGGGCACGACGGG
rnacentral:lncRNA from 1 species